rnacentral:lncRNA from 1 species
GUUGCUUAAGUGUUGCUCUGUUAGACAUUGUUGCUAUAUAAUUACCUUUGCUGGGAUUUGUUUGUGACAUUAGGCAUGAUAUAUCUUCUGUUUCAAAGUCUGCUGUAGGUUCACUGGCUGAGAUAGCUUGAGUUUCAUAUGAAUUGCUGAUUAUUACCUUAUCCCUCACUUGCAUUGAGAAGAAGCUGUUUCACAGAAUGAGGAGGGGUGGAAAAUCUCGUAUUCACUUGUCUUCCUGGUCCUAUCAGUGACAAUUUUGCAUAGACCGAUGCUGAUAUCAGUAGUGGAAGCCUGUAUCUUUGCUUCAUCUCCAGAUCAGGAAUCAUCCCUGGAGAGUCGUAGGAGUUCCACAGUGAUACUUUGGAUUGAAGAUCCAGAACUUGGGGGAAUUUGAAGCAGAUCUACUGAAAAAAGGAGUGAGUUUAGCAAGAAUAAAAUAAUUCCUACAAAUCUGU